rnacentral:rRNA from 1 species
UACAUGGGGUGCAAACGUUGCUCGGAAUCAUUGGGCGUAAAGCGCACGUAGGCGGCUACUUAAGUCGGAUGUGAAAUCCCUCGGCUUAACUGAGGAAGUGCAUCCGAAACUGAAUAGCUUGAGUACGAAAGAGGGUCGCGGAAUUCCCGGUGUAGAGGUGAAAUUCGUAGAUAUCGGGAGGAACACCGGCGGCGAAGGCGGCGACCUGGUUCGAGACUGACGCUGAGGUGCGAAAGCGUGGGGAGCAAACAGG